AGUUUUAUUAAAGUAUAAAGGAGAUAGAGAAAGCUUCUGACAUAGGCAUCAGAAGGGGGUAGAAAGAGUACCCACUUGCUAGUAAUGUCUGGAGGUUGUAAAGACCUCAUCAGACCUACUCCCAUAAUUUACAUUUUAAGAUAACACUGUCCUCAGGCAAGAUACAUCCUUGUAAAGACCAGGUCUACUCCCAUAAUUAACAUUUUAAGAUAACAGAAGGUUGAAUCCAAAGACUGUCCUUAGGCAGGAUACAUUAUUGUUAUAUAAUCCUAAGGAAUGUGGAGAAAGAAAAAAAAGUUUGUCCUUUCUUCCUCCUUGAGAAUUCCAGACCCCUCUCUCCUUGGGGACCCCUAGACUCCCUAUCAACCUGCCUAGGAACUGACUCUCUCA
ensembl:lncRNA